UGGAGCCGUCCUUGAAAUACCACCCUUUAAUGGCUGGUGUUCUAACGUAGACCCGUAAUCCGGGUUGCGGACAGUGUCUGGUGGGUAGUUUGACUGGGGCGGUCUCCUCCCAAAGAGUAACGGAGGAGCACGAAGGUUAGCUAAUCCUGGUCGGACAUCAGGAGGUUAGUGCAAUGGCAUAAGCUAGCUUGACUGCGAGAGUGACGGCUCGAGCAGGUGCGAAAGCAGGUCAUAGUGAUCCGGUGGUUCUGAAUGGAAGGGCCAUCGCUCAACGGAUAAAAGGUACUCCGGGGAUAACAGGCUGAUACCGCCCAAGAGUUCAUAUCGACGGCGGUGUUUGGCACCUCGAUGUCGGCUCAUCACAUCCUGGGGCUGAAGUAGGUCCCAAGGGUAUGGCUGUUCGCCAUUUAAAGUGGUACGCGAGCUGGGUUUAGAACGUCGUGAGACAGUUCGGUCCCUAUCUGCCGUGGGCGCUGGAGAAUUGAGGGGGGCUGCUCCUAGUACGAGAGGACCGGAGUGGACGCAUCACUGGUGUUCGGGUUGUCAUGCCAAUGGCACUGCCCGGUAGCUAAAUGCGGAAAAGAUAAGUGCUGAAAGCAUCUAAGCACGAAACUUGCCCCGAGAUGAGUUCUCCCUGAGACUUUAAGUCUCCUGAAGGAACGUUGAAGACGACGACGUUGAUAGGUCGGGUGUGUAAGCGCAGCGAUGCGUUGAGCUAACCGAUACUAAUGAACCGUGAGGCUUAACCUU
rnacentral:rRNA from 1 species